AUCCAGCUGACAAGUCCCAAAUAGAACGAAACGCACGUCAAAACUGGAU
rfam:Schistosoma mattheei strain Denwood, Zambia genome assembly, scaffold: SMTD_scaffold0001597